UGCCCUGCGCACUCUCACGUCACAUCCUGGAACUUCUGGGGGCCACGUGGCCCCCAAUCCCUGCAGCCCCUGCUGGCUCCGUGAUCGUCUGUGGGCUAAGCCCGCUCUCCCUGCAGACCCGGAAGAAGCUCUUCUCACUGAUCGUGAGGAGAGCUUCAGUGUCUGUAGACCAGGACUUUUCCAGAGAAAGGAAUACGUCUCAUUAAAAAGCAACACCACAAUAAUUAAGUAUUGAAUAUUUGCUGCUGGAGUGAUGUGAGAGAGUAGAUCUGAAGACUCUUUCAGGGAAGGAAGGGGGGAAAGUGGGGGAUAAGCAAAGCUGGGCUGUUUGCAAGGAAAGUGGAAGUGGAGUCUGACAGAGAAAGAGGAAGAGGCAAGAGAAAGAAAUAGCAGCUUAUUCUUGUCCUGUUCUGCUGAGAGAUGAAGGACCUCGAGAAAGAAGGGGCAGGCAUUUAGGGAAGUUAUGUCAUUUCCUGAUGAAGUUGGUGGAGAGAAAAGUUGUGGUUGGAAGAAAGGCGGCAUCCUUCCCAGGGAUAGAGCUGGCACUGCAAGGAUUAUAGAGCUGGCUCCUGGCUGGCAUCCAAGUAGGACUGCAUCACCGAGGUCUGAAAAAAGACAGGAAGACUGUGCAGAAUAUAUUGGAAUGCAGUAGACUGGCAACAACAUUGUCUGGAUUCUCCAUAAAAAUGAGACAACAAACCGUGGUAAUUCCAGACUAAACUGCUGGUGUGGAAGCAACCCAGAGCAAGCAAAUGUAAGAAAUUAGCACUUGGCUGUUUCUUUCAUUUUUACUGUAGUGCACCUGAGCUUUUAGCCAAAGAUUCAUAAAUUCAUAUUGCAUAAGAGAGAAGCAUGAUUAUCUCUGAUCUCUUGAGUUGCCAACAGACCACUGGACUAUAUCAAGCAAUUUACUACUGCAGAUGAGAUUAUUCUUUUCUAUAGCUUGCCUCUUGAACUAUAAAAGGUGGUUGGAUUGUUUUAGACAGAGAAAUGUAUUAGCAGCUGAGGUCUCCAGCAAGGGAAUAGGCUUAUGGAGGAUACCAGGAGAAUCCAGUUUUCUUUCUCCCAGCAAAUGUGAAAACAACUUCUCUCCGGACAGAUCUUUCACAACACUGCCAUCUCUCUUCUGAUAAACUCUCACUGAAUGAUACAUAAAAGGGAAAAACACUUUCUACAAACCAACACAAAUAAGAUUCUGGUGGGUUGUGGUUUUUUUAAAAAUGAAACCAAGCCCCUGCUGUGAGCAGCAUUUUUAUAAUGAAUACAGUCACAUAGUAAAAAUGCUGAGAAUAUAUGCUAAGAGUGGAAACUUGUGAGGCACAACAGCCCAGUUUUCAAACCUAAUUUCAGCUAAAAAAAUAUCACUUCAGACACCAAAAUCUUGUGGAGGAGGAACUGUUCUCUCAGCCUCAGGACUUGACUUCAGUCUAACAAAAUUGGCAUACAAGGAUUAUCGAGAUAACGUGUGAUAUAUACAUGCCAAAUAUCAUCAUCAUCUUGGACUACAAGGAUCUUGAACGAUAACAUAUGGCAAUACUUUCCAGGUCCUUCUAACAAGCACACAACAGGGGAUAACAACAGCAGAUAAAGAGACAACUGAAGACCCAUCUGUUUAGAGAGGCUUUUAAUGUUGUAUCUGCCAUUCAUAUCUGUCUGGUAGGUUUUAACUUUUUAACCUUCUGACCUGCAACUUUUAAACUUGGUUUUAACUGGGUCUUGUUUUUAGUUAAUUUCUAUUAAUUUUAUAUUAUUUAAUCUGUUUUACUAACUUUGUG